GACGAACGCUGGCGGCGUGCCUAAUACAUGCAAGUCGAGCGGACUUUCAAGAAGCUUGCUUUUUGAAAGUUAGCGGCGGACGGGUGAGUAACACGUGGGCAACCUGCCUGCAAGACGGGGAUAACUCCGGGAAACCGGGGCUAAUACCGGAUAAUAUCUUCCUUCGCAUGAAGGAAGGUUGAAAGGCGGCGCAAGCUGCCGCUUGCAGAUGGGCCCGCGGCGCAUUAGCUAGUUGGUGAGGUAACGGCUCACCAAGGCGACGAUGCGUAGCCGACCUGAGAGGGUGAUCGGCCACACUGGGACUGAGACACGGCCCAGACUCCUACGGGAGGCAGCAGUAGGGAAUCUUCCGCAAUGGACGAAAGUCUGACGGAGCAACGCCGCGUGAGCGAAGAAGGUCUUCGGAUCGUAAGGCUCUGUUGUCAGGGAAGAACAAGUACCGUUCGAACAGGGCGGUACCUUGACGGUACCUGACCAGAAAGCCACGGCUAACUACGUG
rnacentral:rRNA from 1 species